rnacentral:rRNA from 4 species
AAAUUGAAGAGUUUGAUCAUGGCUCAGAUUGAACGCUGGCGGCAGGCCUAACACAUGCAAGUCGAACGGUAACAGGAAGCAGCUUGCUGCUUUGCUGACGAGUGGCGGACGGGUGAGUAAUGUCUGGGAAACUGCCUGAUGGAGGGGGAUAACUACUGGAAACGGUGGCUAAUACCGCAUAACGUCGCAAGACCAAAGAGGGGGACCUUCGGGCCUCUUGCCAUCAGAUGUGCCCAGAUGGGAUUAGCUUGUUGGUGAGGUAACGGCUCACCAAGGCGACGAUCCCUAGCUGGUCUGAGAGGAUGACCAGCCACACUGGAACUGAGACACGGUCCAGACUCCUACGGGAGGCAGCAGUGGGGAAUAUUGCACAAUGGGCGCAAGCCUGAUGCAGCCAUGCCGCGUGUAUGAAGAAGGCCUUCGGGUUGUAAAGUACUUUCAGCGGGGAGGAAGGUGUUGUGGUUAAUAACCGCAGCAAUUGACGUUACCCGCAGAAGAAGCACCGGCUAACUCCGUGCCAGCAGCCGCGGUAAUACGGAGGGUGCAAGCGUUAAUCGGAAUUACUGGGCGUAAAGCGCACGCAGGCGGUCUGUCAAGUCGGAUGUGAAAUCCCCGGGCUCAACCUGGGAACUGCAUUCGAAACUGGCAGGCUUGAGUCUUGUAGAGGGGGGUAGAAUUCCAGGUGUAGCGGUGAAAUGCGUAGAGAUCUGGAGGAAUACCGGUGGCGAAGGCGGCCCCCUGGACAAAGACUGACGCUCAGGUGCGAAAGCGUGGGGAGCAAACAGGAUUAGAUACCCUGGUAGUCCACGCCGUAAACGAUGUCUACUUGGAGGUUGUGCCCUUGAGGCGUGGCUUCCGGAGCUAACGCGUUAAGUAGACCGCCUGGGGAGUACGGCCGCAAGGUUAAAACUCAAAUGAAUUGACGGGGGCCCGCACAAGCGGUGGAGCAUGUGGUUUAAUUCGAUGCAACGCGAAGAACCUUACCUGGUCUUGACAUCCACAGAACUUUCCAGAGAUGGAUUGGUGCCUUCGGGAACUGUGAGACAGGUGCUGCAUGGCUGUCGUCAGCUCGUGUUGUGAAAUGUUGGGUUAAGUCCCGCAACGAGCGCAACCCUUAUCCUUUGUUGCCAGCGGUCCGGCCGGGAACUCAAAGGAGACUGCCAGUGAUAAACUGGAGGAAGGUGGGGAUGACGUCAAGUCAUCAUGGCCCUUACGACCAGGGCUACACACGUGCUACAAUGGCGCAUACAAAGAGAAGCGACCUCGUGAGAGCAAGCGGACCUCAUAAAGUGCGUCGUAGUCCGGAUUGGAGUCUGCAACUCGACUCCAUGAAGUCGGAAUCGCUAGUAAUCGUGGAUCAGAAUGCCACGGUGAAUACGUUCCCGGGCCUUGUACACACCGCCCGUCACACCAUGGGAGUGGGUUGCAAAAGAAGUAGGUAGCUUAACCUUCGGGAGGGCGCUUACCACUUUGUGAUUCAUGACUGGGGUGAAGUCGUAACAAGGUAACCGUAGGGGAACCUGCGGUUGGAUCACCUCCUUACCUUAAAGAAGC